rnacentral:piRNA from 2 species
UAUUGCAGUACCUCCAGGAACGG